UAGUGUUACAGUUCUUUUAGAAAUUGUCUAGCAGGUUUUCUGGUUGCUACUGGAAAACUACA
rnacentral:snRNA from 1 species